UCACUUGCCACUCUUCCUCCUUCCCUCUUCCUCCACAAUAGGAUCAUCUAUCUCUUCUUUAUGUUAAAUUCUCUCUAAAUGUGUUUGUCUCUUUUCGAUAGGUUGCUCUACUAGAGUUAAUAGUCUAGCUAGAUUUUCUCUUGGCAUUAUCUGAAUGGUACAAUUUCAACAUACUUCUUGAUGGCAAUAGAGGAUUAUUUUAUCAUUUGAAAUUUAAAUU
rnacentral:lncRNA from 1 species